rnacentral:rRNA from 1 species
GCACAAGCGGUGGAUCAUGUUGUUAAUUCGAUGGUACGCGAAGAACCUUACCAGGUCUUGACAUCCCCGCAAUGCUCUGGAGACAGAGCGGAGGUAUCCGGGGAGACAGGUGGUGCAUGGUUGUCGUCAGCUCGUGUCGUGAGAUGUUGGGUUAAGUCCCGCAACGAGCGCAACCCCUAUCUUUAGUUGCCAUCAUUGAGUUGGGCACUCUAAAGAGACUGCCGGUGUCAAACCGGAGGAAGGUGGGAUGACGUCAAAUCAUCAUGCCCCUUAUGACCUGGGCUACACACGUGCUACAAUGGUUGGUACAACGAGUUGCGAGUCGGUGACGGCGAGCUAAUCUCUUAAAGCCAAUCUCAGUUCGGAUUGUAGGCUGCAACUCGACUGCGUGAAGUCGGAAUCGCUAGUAAUCGCGGAUCAGCAUGUCGCGGUGAAUACGUUCCCGGGUCUU